rnacentral:rRNA from 1 species
GAUGGGAGCUUGCUCCCUGAUGUUAGCGGCGGACGGGUGAGUAACACGUGGGUAACCUGCCUGUAAGACUGGGAUAACUCCGGGAAACCGGGGCUAAUACCGGAUGGUUGUUUGAACCGCAUGGUUCAAACAUAAAAGGUGGCUUCGGCUACCACUUACAGAUGGACCCGCGGCGCAUUAGCUAGUUGGUGAGGUAACGGCUCACCAAGGCAACGAUGCGUAGCCGACCUGAGAGGGUGAUCGGCCACACUGGGACUGAGACACGGCCCAGACUCCUACGGGAGGCAGCAGUAGGGAAUCUUCCGCAAUGGACGAAAGUCUGACGGAGCAACGCCGCGUGAGUGAUGAAGGUUUUCGGAUCGUAAAGCUCUGUUGUUAGGGAAGAACAAGUACCGUUCGAAUAGGGCGGUACCUUGACGGUACCUAACCAGAAAGCCACGGCUAACUACGUGCCAGCAGCCGCGGUAAUACGUAGGUGGCAAGCGUUGUCCGGAAUUAUUGGGCGUAAAGGGCUCGCAGGCGGUUUCUUAAGUCUGAUGUGAAAGCCCCCGGCUCAACCGGGGAGGGUCAUUGGAAACUGGGGAACUUGAGUGCAGAAGAGGAGAGUGGAAUUCCACGUGUAGCGGUGAAAUGCGUAGAGAUGUGGAGGAACACCAGUGGCGAAGGCGACUCUCUGGUCUGUAACUGACGCUGAGGAGCGAAAGCGUGGGGAGCGAACAGGAUUAGAUACCCUGGUAGUCCACGCCGUAAACGAUGAGUGCUAAGUGUUA